UACGAAGGGGGCUAGCGUUGUUCGGAAUUACUGGGCGUAAAGGGCGCGUAGGCGGUGUGUCAAGUCAGGCGUGAAAGCCCCGGGCUCAACCUGGGAACAGCGCUUGAGACUGGCACGCUCGAGUUCGGGAGAGGAUGGUGGGAUUCCCAGUGUAGAGGUGAAAUUCGUAGAUAUUGGGAAGAACACCGAUGGCGAAGGCAGCCAUCUGGACCGACACUGACGCUGAGGCGCGGAAAGCGUGGGGAGCAAACAGG
rnacentral:rRNA from 1 species